rnacentral:rRNA from 1 species
GACGAACGCUGGCGGCGUGCUUAACACAUGCAAGUCGAACGGAAAGGCCCUGCUUUUGUGGGGUGCUCGAGUGGCGAACGGGUGAGUAACACGUGAGUAACCUGCCCUUGACUUUGGGAUAACUUCAGGAAACUGGGGCUAAUACCGGAUAGGAGCUCCUGCUGCAUGGUGGGGGUUGGAAAGUUUCGGCGGUUGGGGAUGGACUCGCGGCUUAUCAGCUUGUUGGUGGGGUAGUGGCUUACCAAGGCAUUGACGGGUAGCCGGCCUGAGAGGGUGACCGGCCACAUUGGGACUGUGAUACGGCCCAGACUCCUACGGGAGACAGCAGUGGGGAAUAUUGCACAAUGGGCGGAAGCCUGAUGCAGCAACGCCGCGUGCGGGAUGACGGCCUUCGGGUUGUAAACCGCUUUCGCCUGUGACGAAGCGUGAGUGACGGUAAUGGGUAAAGAAGCACCGGCUAACUACGUG